AUGGCUGACAAGUGCGGCAACCGCGACUGCGCCGACAAGACCCAGUGCGUGAAGAAGGGCGACAGCUAUGGUGUCGUCAUGGUUGACACCGAGAAGAGCACACUUAACUGUUUCUACAUUUUGUUUGGACGAGCCCAUCCCAUGAUUUACCAGUUGGGAGCAUACUUUGUCUCUGUUGUUAAUUGCUUAUGUAAAAGUUGCUUGGUUUAUGCUGCUCCGUGGACACUAAUCUAG
rnacentral:rRNA from 1 species